AGUCGAACGGAGUCAAGAGGAGCUUGCUUUUCUUGACUUAGUGGCGAACGGGUGAGUAACGCGUGAGUAACCUGCCCUGGAGUGGGGGACAACAGUUGGAAACGACUGCUAAUACCGCAUAAGCCCACGAUCCGGCAUCGGAUUGAGGGAAAAGGAUUUAUUCGCUUCAGGAUGGACUCGCGUCCAAUUAGCUAGUUGGUGAGGUAACGGCCCACCAAGGCGACGAUUGGUAGCCGGACUGAGAGGUUGAACGGCCACAUUGGGACUGAGACACGGCCCAGACUCCUACGGGAGGCAGCAGUGGGGGAUAUUGCACAAUGGGGGAAACCCUGAUGCAGCGACGCCGCGUGGAGGAAGAAGGUUUUCGGAUUGUAAACUCCUGUCGUUAGGGACGAUAAUGACGGUACCUAACAAGAAAGCACCGGCUAACUACGUGCCAGCAGCCGCGGUAAAACGUAGGGUGCAAGCGUUGUCCGGAAUUACUGGGUGUAAAGGGAGCGCAGGCGGACCGGCAAGUUGGAAGUGAAAACUAUGGGCUCAACCCAUAAAUUGCUUUCAAAACUGCUGGCCUUGAGUAGUGCAGAGGUAGGUGGAAUUCCCGGUGUAGCGGUGGAAUGCGUAGAUAUCGGGAGGAACACCAGUGGCGAAGGCGACCUACUGGGCACCAACUGACGCUGAGGCUCGAAAGCAUGGGUAGCAAACAGGAUUAGAUACCCUGGUAGUCCAUGCCGUAAACGAUGAUUACUAGGUGUUGG
rnacentral:rRNA from 1 species